GACGAACCACACGAACGUUAUUCGGAAUUACUGGGCUUAAAGGGUGCGUAGGCGGCGCAGAAAGUUGGGUGUGAAAUCCCUCGGCUCAACCGAGGAACUGCGCCCAAAACUACUGUGCUUGAGGAAGAUAGAGGUAAGCGGAACUUACGGUGGAGCGGUGAAAUGCGUUGAUAUCGUAAGGAACACCUGUGGCGAAAGCGGCUUACUGGGUCUUUUCUGACGCUGAUGCACGAAAGCCAGGGGAGCGAACGGG
rnacentral:rRNA from 1 species